CCUUUGAUCUUGACCUUAUUUUCUAAGUUAGGACCCAGGGGACUCAAAUAAAAACAUUCCAGGGUUAUACGGUUAACUGUUAAUGAGUUAAAAAAACAUACCGACAAAUUUAUUCCGUAAAGGUAGAUAACUCCUAUAAAAUUUCAUCCAAUCGUUUCGAUCCAAAUUAGCCAAAAAUUCCUGAGGAUGUAACGACCAAUUUGUAGAAAGAAUUUUUUCGAUAUCUUUUUUUGCUACGAAGAAGAUGCACUCUGAUGAUAAACAGUGAAUAGGGAGAUAACUCUUACUUAGAAAAUGGUUCCCCUUAGCAGGGUGAAAUUUAAAAGCGCAUAAACUAUACGAUACCAUAUGAGAAAUAUCUAAGCGACAUAUUGCGAAACAAACAUUUAUCGCAAGAACAAAAUUUGGCGGAAGAAAAAAAAAAAAAUUAAAAACCAAUUGUUCAGAGAACAAUUGAAAGUCUUUCCACACCACAGAAAUUUGGAUAAGAAGGUAGUUUCUUCAUACUGAUGCGAUAAAUAAUGGUUUAAUUAUCUUUUUGAGUGAUAUAAGGGAGAUAAUAUGCUACUUCCGGUGAAAUGAAUGUCACAUCUGGUC
rnacentral:lncRNA from 1 species